rnacentral:rRNA from 1 species
UACGUAGGGGGCAAGCGUUGUCCCGGAGUUUAUUGGGCGUAAAGGAGCGUGUAGGCGGCCAGGUAGGUCAGCUGUGAAAACUCGAGGCUCAACCUCGAAGCGCCGGUUGAAACCAUCUGGCUAGAGUCCGGAAGAGGAGAGUGGAAUUCCUGGUGUGAGCGGUGAAAUGCGCAGAUAUCAGGAAGAACACCCGUGGCUAAGGCGGCUCUCUAGUACGGUACUGACGCUGAGACGCGAAAGCGUGGGGAGCGAACAGGAUAGAAACCCU